rnacentral:rRNA from 1 species
UGGGGAAUUUUGGACAAUGGGCGCAAGCCUGAUCCAGCCAUGCCGCGUGCAGGAUGAAGGCCUUCGGGUUGUAAACUGCUUUUGUACGGAACGAAAAGGUUUGGCCUAAUAAGCUGAGCUCAUGACGGUACCGUAAGAAUAAGCACCGGCUAACUACGUGCCAGCAGCCGCGGUAAUACGUAGGGUUCGAGCGUUAAUCGGAAUUACUGGGCGUAAAGCGUGCGCAGGCGGUUUUGUAAGCCAGAGGUGGAAUCCCCGGGCUCAACCUGGGAACUGCAUUUGUGACUGCAUGGCUGGAGUGCGGCAGAGGGGGAUGGAAUUCCGCGUGUAGCAGUGAAAUGCGUAGAUAUGCGGAGGAACACCGAUGGCGAAGGCAAUCCCCUGGGCCUGCACUGACGCUCAUGCACGGAAGCGUGGGGAGCAAACA